ACCUAAUCUAUUUAAACCUUGGGAAAAGCAGCCGCAACAGGCAAAACCACAUUUCACCUCUUUUGAUCAUCCAAAACACACCAUUUCUAUACAACGAUCAACUUCUUGUUCGGUUUCAAGUUUAUGUGGUGAUUUUUUGGGGAUUCUUAUUAAUACAACGAAGAAAGUUUUACUCCAUUGAGACUAUCCCAGUGAACUUCGCGAGAUGGGCUAGCAUAAUUGGCAUGAAAAAAAUGAAACUAGAUAAUUGGAAAGGCAAGGAAUGGCAAGUGGACAUAGAACGUAGACAAGGGUGUGUUCGUAUAACAAGUGGAUGGCCUGAAUUCAAGAUUGAUAACAAGAUAGCCACUGGUGAGACUUAUCGCUUCAAGUUGAUUUAGGGAAAUGAUGGUGGCAAUAAUGUUUUACGGGUUCAAAAGAUCUCCGAACCCCAUUCCUUGCUCUAGCUAUAUCUAUGCAGUAUGGUUUCUUUUGGUUGUAUUUUGGAAUCGUCCUGCUAGGUGGAGGGGUUGAGGGUACCGUUGAUAUGACUAUCUUCAAUAUCUUGCUUGUCAGUUUAGUUCAAUGUCAUGUUAAGGUGACGUUCUGUUUGAAUUUUGUAGAUUCAAAAGAAGAAAAUUUCAAUAUACCUUCUUGUUUGCGGGAGGCAGGGGUUAAAAGAAUCCAAUCCAAACCUUUUCUUUGUUCCC